CCAGACUCCUACGGGAGGCAGCAGUGGGGAAUAUUGCACAAUGGGGGAAACCCUGAUGCAGCAACGCCGCGUGGGUGAAGAAGUAUUUCGGUAUGCAAAGCCCUAUCAGCAGGGAAGAGAAUGACGGUACCUGACUAAGAAGCCCCGGCUAACUACGUGCCAGCAGCCGCGGUAAGACGUAGGGGGCAAGCGUUAUCCGGAAUUACUGGGUGUAAAGGGAGCGUAGACGGUGAAGUAAGUCUGGAGUGAAAGGCGGGGGCCCAAACCCCGGACUGCUCUGGAAACUAUUUGACUGGAGUGCAGGAGAGGUAAGCGGAAUUCCUAGUGUAGCGGUGAAAUGCGUAGAUAUUAGGAGGAACACCAGUGGCGAAGGCGGCUUACUGGACUGUAACUGACGUUGAGGCUCGAAAGCGUGGGGAGCAAACAGGAUUAGAUACCCCUGUACG
rnacentral:rRNA from 1 species